rnacentral:tRNA from 1 species
CAGAAAAUAGUUUAAUAAAACCUUAUCUUUGGGUGAUAAAAUUCAGCAUUGCUGUUUUCUGA